AGUCGCACACGCUUUUCCGAUGCAAUUCUGAAUCGAAAACGGAAGAGAAAACGAAGACAGAACUGAGGAACCAAGCGAGAAGAGGAGAAAAAUCGCUUUCGCAUGCGACAAAUUCGGUCGGGAUCAGUGAGUGUGUGUGUGUGUGCGAGUGUAAAUGUUGCUAAAUUUAUAAAUAACAGCACAAGUUGUGCCUGUGCUCCUGUGCUCCCAAAGUAAAUCGGAAUAAAAGCAAAAGUGAUGCGCUCGCCGUGAGGGAAAUGGAGAUGGAAAAUAAGGAAAAUAUCAACGCAUAAAUAAAGCGUUGCCGCGAUCGCGAUCCGCGUCCGAUUCUGUGGCAUUUGCCGGCUGCAUUCCCAAAUAGAUCGGCCAGCUAUAGGCUGUAGUUGCUGCUGUUGUUGUAUCUGUUGUAUCCGAAGGUGCUCAGGUCUAUAUCCCCGACCUGGCGGUGCGUGCCGGUGGAUUAUGUAAAGUGGCACACGAGCGAUCGCAGAAUAUCUCGCCAUCUCGAAAACAAAGAAACCCCCAAAAAAGAGAGUUGGCUCCCUACAGAAGGGAAACUGAAAUCGAAAUAAAAUGGAAAACAAGCAAAAAUAAAACGAGAAUAGGAAAGAUCGCUAGAAAUUCGUCGCACGCGCCCGAUCUCAGUAAGUGCAUCUAAUUUAUUUUGCAUCUAUUGCAAUUGAGAGGCGUUCGCGCGAAUGCAUCCGCCAGAUACGUUUUCGUAAUUGUCGUCAGCGGUUCGAGUUGCGCGAGUGUCCGCCGGAUUGGAUUACCACCAGCCACGGCCAGAAUAAAUACAAGAUAAAUUAGAAAUUUCAAAAAGGCAAAUACAAAGGCUGUUGUGAGGGAUUCAUUUUGAACGGGCCGAUCGAGGAUCCCUUGCCAAGAGCAACGCAAUGUCGUCCUACCGCAGUUAUACUCCCUGGAAAACCAGCCUGGGCAGCUCCUAUAAGCCGGGAAGUUCUUCGUACGGCUCCACCGGAGACUCCACAUCGCGCUACACAUCACUAGCCACGCCAAGUGCCUACAGACCCUCGUUUUCCGGUGGAACUUACCGUCUGAAAAGAGAUCCACCACCGAGCACUGCCAGCACCACUCCGGUGACCAGUUACGUAAGCCGCUAUGCCAAGACAGAUCCUAAAGAGACAGCUUCCAGUGAGCGGACCAGUCCGGUCAAGAGGUAUACGGGUGCAGGCACCAGCACCCUGGCAAAAUACGGACGAUCCCGGGAUCCCAGUCCGGUGGCCUUGGAGCACACAAAUCGGAAUAAGUCCAGGGACCCGAGUCCCGUCAUAGACAGCGCCAGGAGCAAGUUGGGGGCCACAUACCGGGCUGGCAAUACACCUUCCAGUUCAUCCUCAUCCGCCUCCAGAAACGGCUACAGCAGUCGGUAUGGUGGCACGGCCUCUCGGAUCUCGGGAAAUGGGAGUGCCAUAUCCUACCUGACCACCAGUGACUUUCAUGCGAGAACCGCCAGCAGGGCCAAGGCCAGUCGGGAGAGAGAAAGGGAGAAAGAGAAGGAACUGGAGAUUGUGGAGAAACCCAGUGAAAUGGUCUCCCAGGGCAGAGAAAAAUCCACAGAGAAACAGCUGGAGGAACAGGCGACUGUCAAUAAUGAGGUUGAAGCCCCCGAAACUUUCGUAACCAUCUCGGUGGUCACCAGAGCCACAUCACCCACCUUACCGGGCAGCACCACCGUACAGCGCACGCGUCGUAUUGAUCCGGCGAAAACCAUCGAAAAGACUAUACAAAGAUCCACCAAGAGACGACCCACCAUAGAUCAGGAGAUCCAAUCGGAUCGUUUGGACGACUCCACGCGAUAUCUUCGCUACAGUGCAGGCGGCAGUAGUCUCAGUUCUACGUAUAGUCCCCAUCGAGAUCGGAUCAGCAGUUUGCGGUACAGUGCCAGUCCACAUAGCUCGGGAUCGGGGAAGUCCAGUCCAUUGAGUGAGGGAAAACUAAGUCAACCCGCAAUCCCAGAGGCAGUAUCUCCGGCAAGAAAUAAUGGCUCUGUGAGCUCGGCAAAGUCCUCUGAAGCCCUAUCUCCUCCCAGAACCAAUGGCACUGUAAGUUCAGCCAAGUCUUCAGAAGUCCUAUCUCCUCCAAGGAGUAAUGGCUCCUCAAAGUCCCCAGAAGCGGUAUCGCCUCCUAGAACCAAUGGCUCUGUGAGUUCAGCGAGAUCAACGGAGGCCUUAUCCCCUCCCCGAAGUAAUGGUUGUUCUCCAAAAUCCAUAGAAGCAGUUUCUCCACCCAGAUCCAAUGGCUCUUCAAAGUCCACAAAGUCUAAGCUGUCGCCACCGAAAGCCGUUCGCCUGAACUCCCGCCAAUCUUCAGUGGAGAACCUGGUGAACAAGCCACCGGCUCCUCCCAGCAAGGCGGACUCCCCCACCAAGACCUGCAGCUCCAGCUCAGGUAGUUCCGCUGUCAAAUGGCCCAACAAGGAUUUCCGAAAGUCAUCCCUGAACGUGGGACCCACAGACAGGCCAAGGAAGUCGCGGACCCCUAGUAGUGGCGGCGAGUCCGAGGACCUGCCCAACGGGAGUAGUCUAGAGCGCUCACCCAGUGCCGGGUCCGAGGGAAGUCUGGCCUCCGGAGGCUCUUCCAAGAAAUCUGGCAAGCUAAGCAAUGGCAAGGUUUCUGGAGUAGGAGCUGGCACCAAGCCAAAGGCCCACAAAUCCUGCAGCGAAUCCACCACAGGCAACUCAUCCUCGGCCACCGCCUCCGCUUCGGACAGCGAUCAGCAGCGGGUGAAAAGUGUGAAAAAGACGACAAAGAAGAAGACCGCCGCUGGCAAGGUCGCCGCCGCCCACAAGCCUUUAGGAACCACCGCCGCUGAGUCACCACCGCCCGUCGUGGUUGAGGUGGUGCCAGCGACACACACGCGACUGAAGAAGCUCUCGGCGGUGUCGAAUUUUUUCGCCAGCCGUCAGCAAGACGCAAAUAACGAGCCGAUCUUCCUCGAAAGCUCCGAGAGCUCGGGCGAACCGGAGGCUCUUUUGCUGCCGGUAAUCUCGGGAUUCUCGAAGAUCUCGAAGAUAUCGGCUAAUAGUCUGACCACAGACCUGCGAACGAACGAACCGCGAACGACGCCAUCGAGCGAAGCAAACCCAACCUCACCCACGACGAAUUCACUGAGUUCGAGCACACGCUGUCCCAGAGAAACCACCACGGGAUCAGGAACGGGAACCAGAUUGCCUACGAGCACCGUUAGCACCAGGGACACCCAGGACACGAGCCUAACGACCACGGCGAGUUUGACCACUUCGGAACAGGACGAGCCCAGUUGGUGGCAAGACACCAGCUUGCAGAUAAACACAGCCUCUGCUUUGGACCACAACAAUAGGACGGAGAUGCCCCCUUACAGACUGAGGCACAUUGAUUCCGGCGAGGAGCAGGCAUGGUGGCUGCAACGCGACGAGAACGGGGAUGACGACGACACUCUAGCGGAGGAAACCCUGAACACUCUGGACGACGAUGCCCAGGAAGUUAGCAAGGGCACAUGGUGGAGUCAAGAGGAGCAGGAGUCCAGCAGCAGUCAGGUGAAAGCAAUGCCCAGGAGCCGGCUCUCGCCGGAAAAGGAUGCUUGGUGGCUGCAGGAGGAGGAGGGUCACAAAUCUCCCAGGGAAAACGGAGAUCUUAACAACAAUAACAACAAUAGCGAACCCCAUGUAGAGGUUACCCUGAAGUUGCCUUCUAAUGGCAGCCGUAGCUCGAAGAGCGGAGGAGCCUCGAAGAGUACUAAUGGCAGUUCAAAGGGUGGCGGCUCCAAUCCCUGGUGGCUGUCCGGUCCGGCCAAAAAGCUCUUCAAUGUAAAGCGCGUGGAGUCCGGCGAGCGAGCGUGGUGGCAGGAGCAGCCAGAGGAGCCGGCCCACGAAGAAAAGGAGAACGAACCGCCACAAGUGAAGCCGCCAACGCCCCCACCGCGCAUCAUCAAGCACUGGGAGUCCGGUGAAAGAGCCUGGUGGCUCCAAGACGAACCCGAGACCAGCAAGCUCCCAGCUGCGGCCAGCAGCGAUGACGAGGAGCAGGGAGUGUCUCGGGAUGAGGUGGACCUGAGGCAGAGCCACGGCCAACCCAUGAUGGAUGCUCCUCACGAGCUGAGCAGCUCCUUUGACUUUAACGCCUACUCGGAGCGACCGGUGCCGCUGGGUCAGUGCGCCAGUCCCGUGCGCUGUCCCUCGCCCUACGACAACAUUCCAAGGUCGAAGGUGCAGGAGCCCUCACUGCCAAAGCCGCCAACCCCCACCCACUCGCACUCCCUCACCCCACCAUACACACUCCCCACCCUCCAGCCGCGCUUCUCACCGCAAACUCGCCGAGCCGGCGAAAAGCUCUUCAUCUCGCGUCAUCAGAACAUCGAUGAGUUGCUAGGCGGCGCCUGUCGGCCCCUCAGUCCGCUCUUCUACAGCAACCCCAAUCCGGCGGAGAUCGAGCCCACCCCGCUGGCCAGCAAGAACAUGUUCCUCCUGGAGGAGGUGACACCCGAUCAGGUGCGAAUCCACGAUAGCACCGCCCAGCUGCCGGUCAUCCAGCGAAUGCAGCGCGAUGUCGAGUGGUUGGAGAAUGGCAACAGCUUUUAUGAGCCACCAAAGUCACAACAACAGCAUCAGCAACAGCAACAAUCACAACACCAGCAGCAGCAGCAGCAACACCGGAUCGAUGAUGCGGCCAUUCAAGUGUACAAGGAUGGCGACUACGGUGCCUAUCUGGAUCUGGAGUCAUCUCUGGCCGAGCAGACGGAGGAGAUCGAGGGUCUCAAUGCCAGCCGUAAGAACUCUCUGGUGGUGCGAACGCAGCUGAAUGUGCGCGUGCAUGCGAUUAUCGAGAAACUCCUCUCCUCCGAGGGCAGCGACCUGCGGCGGGCCCUCUUCUCGCUGAAGCAGGUGUUCCAGGAGGAUAAGGAUCUGGUGCACGCCUUCGUGGCCCUCGGCGGCCUCAAUUGCCUGGUACGCGUGGGCAAUUGCGCGGACCAGAACUAUCAGAACUACAUUCUGCGGGCCCUCGGUCAGGUCAUGCUCUAUGUGGACGGGAUGAACGGCGUGAUGAAGCAUGAGCCGACGAUGCAGUGGCUCUACUCACUGAUUGCCUCCAAUUACCGGUCCGUGGUGAAGACCGCCCUCAAGCUCUUGCUGGUCUUCGUGGAGUAUGCCGAGUCCAACUGCUAUGUGCUGGUCAGUGCCAUUCACGCGGUGGAUGCCUCCCAGGGCACUCUGCCCUGGUCGAACAUAAUGAGACUGCUUAAGGACUAUGAUAAUGCCGAUGCCGAGCUGGUCAUCUAUGCCACUUCGCUGAUCAACAAAACCCUGGCUGGCCUCAACGACCAGGACAGCUUCUAUGACGAGAGCGAUCUCCUUGAGCAGCAGGGCAUGGAGACUGUGAUACAGCGAUACAUGUCGAAGCCCGGCACCGAUCUGGAUCUGCUCGAUCAGCUGCAACUCUACGAGGCUGUGCUGAAAUUCGAGGAUGGUGAGUCUGAUGGCCAGCGUCUGCCCCAGAACUCAAUGCGGAAGACGCAGCGCUAUAGGCCCGGAGCAAACACCACGGAGAGGCGCAAGUCCCGGCGCCACAGCACUGACAACAGCCCCGCGCCGCUCGCCAAGGUCCUGCCCACCACAGUGCUCCGGAUGACCCCGACCCAGGCCACCCUGGACGAGGACAGCUCCGGUUCCGGCAACUCCACGGAGUUCAGUGGCGGUCUGUUUAACGAAAAGAAACCUCGCGAUGGAGCAGGAGUGACGCCGGGACUCCGCAGAAGACGAGAGCGUGCGGAGCGGCACAAGAGCUUCCUCAAGGAGCAGCAGGAGGCGGCGGCCAAUGGCAUCUUUGCCGCUCUGGAGCAGCGCGAGGGUCUGGGCCAAAUCGUAACCGCUAUUCCCGCAACCGUCCAAGGCGGCGAUAGUCCGCCAGAGUCGCUGCAACACGAGUCCUGCAACAAUGUCAGUGGCAACCUGGGAAACAACAACCUAAGCAACAUCAGUAGCAACGAGACGCCGAACAACAGCCUGCUGCUGAUGAGCCCCAGCAAACAGCUCCUGACCGGCAGCCACAGCAUCUCCAUCAUCAACAACAGCUUCGACAAGGCCAACAACCACAACAACAGCCAGAGCGAGUUCCUCACCAAGAAGAACCUCUUCCGGGAGCGCAACUCCACGGUUAUCAGUGGUAUCAUGAAGAACAUCCAGCAGACGGACAGUGCCUACAAGAAGUACGAGAACGAGGCCAAUCGGCUUAACAACUACUACAGCCAGUCGCCAAAGCACCAGAUUCUGGGGAAGGACCAGCCACCGCCGGAGGUGCUGCUGAGUCCCAAGAAGACCCUGAAUGCCUCGGGAUUCGAUUUCAUCCCGGAACCGUUGAGUUCCACGCCCAUCAAGUGUGAUACAUUGCCCGAACCGGAGCCCCUGAGUCCGGUCCGAAAGCCCGUGGGGGCGCCUCCACCACCACCUCCUCCGCCGCCGCCGCCGCCACCUCCACCUGGCUGGUGGCAUGCUCCCAUCUACAACAGCCCGCCGCCGCCGCCAGCCCGAACCCUAACCAGUACUAACCCCGAGCUGCUGCCGCGUCCCGUGGAUCCGUCAGAUCUGGAGAGCGAGGACAAGCAGCUGCUGCUUCAGCUGAAGCGGGACCACACGGUCAAGGAUCUCACCCAGAAACUGAGCAACCUGCCCACGAGUCCCACGCAGGAGUCGGCCAACCGAGCCAUCGUCGGCGACAUGUCCGGCCUCAUAUCGAAAGCCAAAGAGGGUCUGGCCAAGAGCAAGAGCAAGGGCGAGAUAUCCAGAUCAUCGAGUGUGGACCAGGAGCUUAAGAAGUCGGAGCCCAAGAAGUCAGAGAACGAACUGCACUGGGAGGAGCUGGUGAGGAAUAUGACCCGCCCCCUGAAUCUCUGCGAUUUGGACUUCACGGAUCUCAGGGAUGACGACGAGAAGGAUGUGCUGGCACCAAGGGGACUCGGAGCCGGCAUCCCUCCGCCGCCACCGCCUCUGGGAGGAGCCAUUGCCCCGCCGCCCAUGAUGCCGCCCAGUCUGGCACCGCCGCCCAUGUUUGGCUACGGAGGCAGCCUCACGAACAGUGUCAAUAGUUCGCUUAAUGGCUCCGUCAACGGGGAGCUGGUCAACGGGAACAACACCAUCAAAAAGAACAAGAAGACGGUCAAGCUCUUCUGGAAGGAAGUGCGCGAGGACAUGAUACCGCAGGUGGUGGGCAAGACCAUUUGGGACGAGCUGCCCGAUGCCAACGUGGACACCCAGAAGCUCGAGCAUCUCUUUGAGUCUCGGGCCAAAGACUUGAUGACCAAGAAACAACAAGAGCUGAACAAGAGCAAGGAGAUCAUCGUGCUCGACCACAAGCGCUCCAAUGCCAUCAACAUUGCGAUCACCAAGCUCCCUCCGCCGCGGGCCAUCAAGGCGGCCAUCCUAAAGAUGGACGCCACCGUGGUGACCCGCGAGGGCAUCGACAAGCUGCUCAACAUGCUGCCCACGGACGAGGAGCGCGGCAAAAUCCAGGAGGCGCAGCUGUCCAAUCCGGAGCUGCCGCUGGGCAGCGCCGAGCAGUUCCUGCUCACCCUGGCCUCCAUUUCGGAGCUGGGGGCGCGCCUGAAGCUGUGGGCCUUCCGCCUGGACUUUGACAACAGCGAGCGUGAAAUUGCUGAACCACUGAUGGACCUCAAGCAAGGCAUUGAGAUCCUGCGUCAGAACCGCACCUUCCGCUCCAUCCUCUCCACCCUGCUGUCUGUGGGCAUCUUCCUGAACGGAGCUCCGGUGAAGGGAUUCCAGAUCGAGUACCUGGCCAAGGUGCCCGAGGUGAAGGACACGGUGCACAAGCACUCGCUGCUGCACCACCUCUGUCACAUGGUCAUGGAGUCGAGCAGCGACACAAGCGAUCUCUACUCGGAGAUCGGGCCCAUUACGCGCGCCUCCAAGGCGGACUUCACCGACCUCGCCCACAAUCUCAACCAGCUGGAGGCGGAGUGCAAGGCCUCCUGGGAUCGCCUGAAGCUGAUAGCCAAGCACGACUGCCCGCCACCGUUGAAGCAGAAGCUGGUGGACUUCCUGGCCGACUGUGCCGAGCGCAUCAUCAUCCUGCAGAUCGUCCACCGGCGUGUGAUGAACCGCUACCGGAAGUUCCUUCUGUGGCUCGGAAUGCCGCAGCACAGUGUGGCAGAGUCUCGCCCAAAUGAGUUCUGCCGGACUCUGUCCGAGUUUGCCUUGGAGUAUCGCACCACGCGGGAGCGGGUGCAGCAGCAGCUAGAGAAGAAGGCCAACCACCGCGAGAGGAACAAGACACGCGGCAAGCUGAUCAUUGACAUGGCCAAGUUCAAGACCAAAGAGGAUGUGGCCGACGCCGAGUUGAAAUCACUUCUGGGCACACCCAGUGCAGAUCAGGCUGAUGGCACUCUCACCUGGCGCCGACGUCGCGCGGAACAGCUCCGCUCGCCGAUUGCCCGCCAGAGCGAGGAGCAAUUCACCGACGGGGAUGACGAGAUACUGGAAUCUCUGGUCAAGACCGCCACCAAGGCGCCGGGCACCCGCACCACGCCAAGGGAACGGAAGCGGACGCGACACGCGGAUCGCAAAUCAUUGAAGCGCAGCCGCACGCGCGAAGGAUUCACAGUUGAAAGAGCACCAUCGCCGUAGAACCCGAUACCGUUACCGAUACCGAUACCGAUACUGUUACCGAUACCGUAACCAUUAGUGUUAACCGUAGCCGUAACCGUUGCCAAAAGAACAGCCACUGUUUUUUAGGUUUUACCUUUUUGUGCGUCGCACGCUGAAAAACGGUCUGACCGACGAGGAGAAACAGCACGUGGCUGCCUUGAUACAAACCUAUUAGGAUUAGGAUUAGGAUUAGGAGAGUAUUUCCCCCCUAGAGAACCCCGCAUCCCGCAUCGCACCCGAGAUAAUGAUAACCCGAUCCCAGUGACGUCACAAGUCGGGCAAUGCGCGCACAGACUGAAAUUGGCGAUCUCAGGCGAGCAAGCGAACCCAGAGCCCAAAAUCCAGAAAAUCCCUUUUAUACGACAAGCAAGCAAUCAGCAAAGCAAGAUCAACGAAAAUGUCCUUAAUGAAAAGCGUUUUUCACAGUGUUUUUUUCUGUUAUUUAAACUAUUUUUGUUUUUGCUUCAGAUAAGUAUUAUUAAUUAAACGUAAUUCAAUAAACCUGUAUUAGUAGUUGGAAAACGA